rnacentral:rRNA from 1 species
UACGAGAGGCCCAAACGUUAUUCGGAAUUACUGGGCUUAAAGAGUUCGUAGGCGGCGCAGAAAGUAGGGUGUGAAAGCCCUCGGCUUAACCGAGGAAUUGCGCUCUAAACUACUGUGCUUGAGGAAGCUAGAGGUGAGCGGAACUGAUGGUGGAGCGGUGAAAUGCGUUGAUAUCAUCAGGAACACCGGAGGCGAAGGCGGCUCACUGGGGCUUUUCUGACGCUGAGGAACGGAAAGCCAGGGUAGCGAACGGG